rnacentral:rRNA from 1 species
AUUGAACGCUGGCGGCAUGCUUUACACAUGCAAGUCGAACGGUAACAGGCCGCAAGGUGCUGACGAGUGGCGAACGGGUGAGUAAUGCAUCGGACGUGCCCAGUCGGGGGGGAUAAAGCAGCGAAAGCUGCGCUAAUACCGCAUACGAACUAUGGAUGAAAGCGGGGGACCGGAAGGCCUCGCGCGAUUGGAGGGGCCGAUGGCAGAUUAGGUAGUUGGUGGGGGAAAGGCUCACCAAGGCAACGAUCUGUAGCUGGUCUGAGAGGACGACCAGCCACACUGGGACUGAGACACGGCCCAGACUCCUACGGGAGGCAGCAGUGGGGAAUUUUGGACAAUGGGCGCAAGCCUGAUCCAGCAAUGCCGCGUGCAGGAAGAAGGCCUUCGGGUUGUAAACUGCUUUUGUACGGAACGAAACGGUCCUGGUUAAUACCUGGGGCUAAUGACGGUACCGUAAGAAUAAGCACCGGCUAACUACGUGCCAGCAGCCGCCGUAAGAC